AGCUCUGUAAGCGUAUACCAAAGUUGUUGCAGUUAAAACGCUCGUAGUCGGAUUUUGGCGUGGUGCUUCUGAGGUCCCUGAUUGGGUACUGAAGGUAGUCCCGCCUUUGUGGAUGGGGGCGUGGUGGUGCUUAACUGUAUUGCCGCGUUUCCGCCACUGUUUACUGUGAAAAAAUUAGAGUGUUCAAAGCGAGCGAUUGCCAUGAAUACAUUAGCAUGGAAUAAUAGAAUAGGACCUGAUCCUGUUUUGUUGGUUUGUCGGUAUUAGGUAAUGAUUAAGAGGGACGGUCGGGGGCAUUUGUAUUCCAGGGUUAGAGGUGAAAUUCUUGGAUCCUUGGAAGACAAACAGCUGCGAAAGCGUCUGCCAAGGACGUUUUCAUUGAUCAAGAACGAAAGUACGC
rnacentral:rRNA from 1 species